UUUUCAUUCUCUCAAUUUACAGAAUUUGCGAGUAUGGCCUGUUUGAGAUAUAUUUUGGUCAUAAAGAACAGGGCAUCUUUAGCUUAUUUGACAAUUUGAAAGUGUGUUUGGUUAUAAGGAACAAUUUAAAAUGUAUUCGGGUCUUUUGACCUAUUUCAAAUGGUUUUUGUAUGUAAAAAGUUAAGAGUAAAGUACACUGAUGGUCCCUGUUUGGUCAUAUAGGAAUAGUAUGUAGAGGAAAUAAGAACUGAUUUGAAGGCACUAAACAACAGGCAUCUUAAAGCAAGAAUAUUGCUGAUAAAAGCAUUAGGAAGCAGGAAGCAGGAUAAGUUAUUCGAGAAUGUGGUUGCCAAUGGAGCAGAUUAUGUAGACUGAAAUAAGUCUAAUCAGGUAAACUGCAGACAUUAAAAUAGCAAUUAUGUAAGCUCCGACCGAUUUGUACAUGAAAAUUGUCAACGACAACACCUUUAUGCGAAAAGGCCAGCCUUCAAUGAACACUUCCACACCUGAAACUGAUGUUAUUCCCCGCUUUUACUUUGAUUUAAGAGAUUAUGAAAGUCUUUCCGUCCUACGUCCUACGGAUCGUAAAAACAAUCACCAGCUCCUAGCUCCUUACAGGUUUGCAGAAACGCCAGCUUUCCAGGCCGGAAUUAAAUGAAGGCAUAUGGGCUUCAAAGGCAUAUGGACUCGUAGCUGGACCAAAGCUGGUGCAAAGUUAUU